GGGUUGUGAGGUUAAGCGACUAAGCGUACACGGUGGAUGCCCUGGCAGUCAGAGGCGAUGAAGGACGUGCUAAUCUGCGAAAAGCGUCGGUAAGGUGAUAUGAACCGUUAUAACCGGCGAUGUCCGAAUGGGGAAACCCAGUGCAAUUCGUUGCACUAUCGUUAACUGAAUACAUAGGUUAACGAGGCGAACCGGGGG
rnacentral:rRNA from 1 species